AGAGUUUGAUGGUGGCUCAGGAUGAACGCUGGCGGCGUGCUUAACACAUGCAAGUCGAACGAAGCACUUGAAUGGAAUUCUUCGGAAGGAAGCUCAAGUGACUGGGUGGCGGACGGGUGAGUAACGCGUGGGUAACCUGCCUCAUACAGGGGGAUAACAGUUAGAAAUGACUGCUAAUACCGCAUAAGCACACGUGAUCGCAUGAUCGAGUGUGAAAAACUCCGGUGGUAUGAGAUGGACCCGCGUCUGAUUAGCUAGUUGGUGGGGUAAUGGCCCACCAAGGCGACGAUCAGUAGCCGGCCUGAGAGGGUGAACGGCCACAUUGGGACUGAGACACGGCCCAAACUCCUACGGGAGGCAGCAGUGGGGAAUAUUGCACAAUGGGGGAAACCCUGAUGCAGCGACGCCGCGUGAAGGAUGAAGUAUUUCGGUAUGUAAACUUCUAUCAGCAGGGAAGAAAAUGACGGUACCUGACUAAGAAGCCCCGGCUAACUACGUGCCAGCAGCCGCGGUAAUACGUAGGGGGCAGGCGUUAUCCGGAUUUACUGGGUGUAAAGGGAGCGUAGACGGCAGUGCAAGUCUGAAGUGAAAGCCCGGGGCUCAACCCCGGGACUGCUUUGGAAACUGUGCAGCUAGAGUGUCGGAGAGGCAAGCGGAAUUCCUAGUGUAGCGGUGAAAUGCGUAGAUAUUAGGAGGAACACCAGUGGCGAAGGCGGCUUGCUGGACGAUGACUGACGUUGAGGCUCGAAAGCGUGGGGAGCAAACAGGAUUAGAUACCCUGGUAGUCCACGCCGUAAACGAUGACUACUAGGUGUCGGGGAGCAAAGCUCUUCGGUGCCGCAGCCAACGCAAUAAGUAGUCCACCUGGGGAGUACGUUCGCAA
rnacentral:rRNA from 1 species